rnacentral:rRNA from 1 species
GAUGAACGCUGGCGGCGUGCCUAAUACAUGCAAGUCGAGCGAACGGACGAGAAGCUUGCUUCUCUGAUGUUAGAGGCGGACGGGUGAGUAACACAUGGAUAACCUACCUAUAAGACUGGGAUAACUUCGGGAAACCGUAGCUAAUACCGGAUAAUAUUUUGAACCGCAUGGUUCAAAAGUGAAAGACGGUCUUGCUGUCACUUAUAGAUGGAUCCGCGCUGCAUUAGCUAGUUGGUAAGGUAACGGCUUACCAAGGCAACGAUGCAUAGCCGACCUGGGAGGGGGAUCGGCGACUCUGGAGCUGAGACACGGUCCAGACUCCUACGUGAGGCAGCGGUAGGGAAGCUUCCGCAAUGGGCGGAAGCCUGACGGAGCAACGCCGCGUGAGUGAUGAAGGUCUUCGGACCGUAAAACUCUGUUAUGAGGGAAGAACAUAUGUGUAAGUAACUGUGCACAUCGUGACGGUACCUAAUCAGAAAGCCACGGCUAACUACGUG